rnacentral:rRNA from 1 species
CAAAUCANGUAGGACUACCCGCUGAACUUAAGCAUAUCAAUAAGCGGANGAA